CAGUAGAGGUGGGCGGAAUUCGUGGUGUAGCGGUGAAAUGCUUAGAUAUCACGAAGAACUCCGAUUGCGAAGGCAGCUCACUGGACUGCAACUGACACUGAUGCUCGAAAGUGUGGGUAUCAAACAGGAUUAGAUACCCUGGUAGUCCACACAGUAAACGAUGAAUACUCGCUGUUUGCGAUAUACAGUAAGCGGCCAAGCGAAAGCAUUAAGUAUUCCACCUGGGGAGUACGCCGGCAACGGUGAAACUCAAAGGAAUUGACGGGGGCCCGCACAAGCGGAGGAACAUGUGGUUUAAUUCGAUGAUACGCGAGGAACCUUACCCGGGCUUAAAUUGCAAAUGAAUAUGCCGGAAACGGCAUAGCCGCAAGGCAUUUGUGAAGGUGCUGCAUGGUUGUCGUCAGCUCGUGCCGUGAGGUGUCGGCUUAAGUGCCAUAACGAGCGCAACCCUUAUCUUCAGUUACUAACAGGUUAUGCUGAGGACUCUGGAGAGACUGCCGUCGUAAGAUGUGAGGAAGGUGGGGAUGACGUCAAAUCAGCACGGCCCUUACGUCCGGGGCUACACACGUGUUACAAUGGGGGGUACAGAAGGCCGCUACACAGCGAUGUGAUGCCAAUCCCUAAAGCCCCUCUCAGUUCGGAUCGAAGUCUGCAACCCGACUUCGUGAAGCUGGAUUCGCUAGUAAUCGCGCAUCAGCCACGGCGCGGUGAAUACGUUCCCGGGCCUUGUACACACCGCCCGUCAAGCCAUGGGAGCCGGGGGUACCUGAAGUACGUAACCGCAAGGAGCGUCCUAGGGUAAAACUGGUGACUGGGGCUAAGUCGUAACAAGGUAGCCGUACCGGAAGGUGCGGCUG
rnacentral:rRNA from 1 species